GACGAACGCUGGCGGCGUGCCUAAUACAUGCAAGUCGAGCGAAGUUUUUCUGGUGCUUGCACUAGAAAAAAUUAGCGGCGAACGGGUGAGUAACACGUAAAGAACCUGCCUCAUAGACUGGGAUAACUAUUGGAAACGAUAGCUAAUACCGGAUAACAGUAUUUCUCGCAUGGGAGAUAUUUAAAAGUUGGUUAUGCUAACACUAUGAGAUGGCUUUGCGGUGCAUUAGCUAGUUGGUGGGGUAAAGGCCCACCAAGGCGACGAUGCAUAGCCGACCUGAGAGGGUGAUCGGCCACACUGGGACUGAGACACGGCCCAGACUCCUGCGGGAGGCAGCAGUAGGCAAUCUUCCGCAAUGGGCGAAAGCCUGACGGAGCAACGCCGCGUGAGUUAAGAAGGAGUUCGGUUCGUAAAGCUCUGUUGUUAGGGAAGAAUGGAUAUGUAGUAACUAUACAUGUAAGAGACGGUACCUAACCAGAAAGCCACGGCUAACUACGUG
rnacentral:rRNA from 1 species